rnacentral:lncRNA from 1 species
CUGAGGUUUGCCACCUGCAAAGCUGAAGUCUGUAACUAAUGAAAUAUCAGGCAACAUGCAUCCUCUAUCCCAUUGAUGGUGUCCUGCAGGGCACAAAUGGGAUGAGGCUUGCAAAAUGCUCAUCAAGAUUGGCACAUAUUAAACACUUGACAAAUCGCAGCACCCAUGCGUCUUCAAAGAGCUGGUCCAGAUGACGUCCUUUGAAAUAAGACAGAAUAAAUUUAGACUCCUUUCUGCAUAAGCAUUAUUGAGAUAUGGGAAAGCAGGUGUCAUGUCUUCCUUAGCUCAUUUUUAUAUUCCUUCAAAUCUCUCUCAUAAAAUAAAUUUUCUGGUGAUUUAUUUGGUCAACGUCUCAUAAGUACUUUCUACCCAAUAUGCUCAUGUCUACACUAUUCUAUGCAUCUUUCAAUUCGCUCUAAAAUGAUUUUAAUUCUAGGAUUAUUAAUGCACCCCAGUCAUAGAUACAAGCUGGUAAAAAUUUAAACCAAUUUGCUUAUGUUUAUCAGGAUUUAAACCUAAGCUCACUUCCUAAAUAAGCUAAAUCAACUGUUUCAAAUGUGAUUGGAAACUAUAAAAGUUAUACUGAAACCAUUUAAGUUACCUGUCUUUAUCAAGUAUGGUCCUGAUAGUAAAGUGUGAACCUGAAACAUUAUUAAAUGAAGGAUAGAGAACAGAGACCUUGGCUCUUCACUAAAAGCCUCUCGGAAGAUUGAUAUUGAUUCACUUCUAGACAAAAUCUUUAGAGAAUUUGGCUACCUUAAAACUACGAUCUGCAUUAAAAUAUGUAAUAUGUGUAUAAUUCUGUUCAUUCACCACUGGUGUCAAAGAGAAAUGAAUUUAUUCUGCAAUGACAUUUAAAAACAUAAUCUGGACUCCAAAGGUCAUGUUGUUCUAUCAUUUCCAUCAUAUUAUAAAUGUGGUGAAUAAAUUUGUGAUUAUCCAUUUAAAAAUUUUAUUUAUUUCAAAUUCUGACUCGGG